CUUCGGUUGGACAUGCUUGUCUACAUGUGAUUUUAAUCAUGAGACAGUGUGUCCUCCCUCG
rnacentral:pre_miRNA from 2 species